rnacentral:rRNA from 1 species
ACGCACGCUGGCGGCGUGCUUAACACAUGCCAGUCGCACGGUGAAGCUCCAGCUUGCUGGAGUGGAUCAGUGGCGAACGGGUGAGUAACACGUGAGCAACCUGCCCCUGACUCUGGAAUAAGCGCUGGAAACGGCGUCUAAUACUGGAUACGAGAAGGGUCCGCAUGGGCACUUUCUGGAAAGUUUUUCGGUUGGGGAUGGGCUCGCGGCCUAUCAGCUUGUUGGUGAGGUAAUGGCUCACCAAGGCGACGACGGGUAGCCGGCCUGAGAGGGCGACCGGCCACACUGGGACUGAGACACGGCCCAGACUCCUACGGGAGGCAGCAGUGGGGAAUAUUGCACAAUGGGCGAAAGCCUGAUGCAGCGACGCCGCGUGAGGGAUGACGGCCUUCGGGUUGUAAACCUCUUUCAGCAGGGAAGAAGCGAAAGUGACGGUACCUGCAGAAGAAGCACCGGCUAACUACGUG